GACGAACGCUGGCGGCGUGCUUAACACAUGCAAGUCGAACGGAAAGGCCCUGCUUUUGUGGGGUGCUCGAGUGGCGAACGGGUGAGUAACACGUGAGUAACCUGCCCUUGACUUUGGGAUAACUUCAGGAAACUGGGGCUAAUACCGGAUAGGAGCUCCUGCUGCAUGGUGGGGGUUGGAAAGUUUCGGCGGUGGGGGAUGGACUCGCGGCGUAUUAGCUUGUUGGUAGGGUAGUGGCUUACCAAGGCUAUGACGGGUAGACGGCCUGAGAGGGUGGCCGGACAAACGGGAACUGAGACACGGUCAAGACGCUUACGGGAGGCAGCAGUAGGGAAUGUGACGCAAUGGGCGGAAGCCUGACGGAGAAACGAAGCGUGAGUGAUGAAGGUCUUCGGAUCGUAAAAAUCUGUUAUUAGGGAAGAACAGAUGUGUAAGUAACUGUGCACAUAUUGACGGUACCUAAUCAGAAAGACACGGCUAACUACGUG
rnacentral:rRNA from 1 species